UACGGGGGGGGCAAGCGUUGUUCGGAAUUACUGGGCGUAAAGGGCUCGUAGGCGGACAACUAAGUCAGACGUGAAAUCCCCAGGCUCAACCUGGGAACUGCGUCUGAUACUGGAUGGCUUGAAUUCGGGAGAGGGAUGCAGAAUUCCAGGUGUAGCGGUGAAAUGCGUAGAUAUCUGGAGGAAUACCGGUGGCGAAGGCGGCAUCCUGGACCGACAUUGACGCUGAUGAGCGAAAGCUAGGGGAGCAAACGGG
rnacentral:rRNA from 1 species